rnacentral:rRNA from 1 species
GACGAACGCUGGCGGCGUGCUUAACACAUGCAAGUCGAGCGGUAAGGCCCUUUUGGGGGUACACGAGCGGCGAACGGGUGAGUAACACGUGGGUGACCUGCCCUCAGCUCUGGGAUAAGCCUGGGAAACUGGGUCUAAUACUGGAUAUGACCCUUUCCUCGCAUGGGGUUGGGUGGAAAGUUUUUUCGGCUGGGGAUGGGCCCGCGGCCUAUCAGCUUGUUGGUGGGGUGAUGGCCUACCAAGGCGACGACGGGUAGCCGGCCUGAGAGGGCGACCGGCCACACUGGGACUGAGACACGGCCCAGACUCCUACGGGAGGGCAGCAGUGGGAAUAUUGCGCAAUGGGCGGAAGCCUGACGCAGCGACGCCGCGUGGGGAUGACGCC